GCUUGAGUCCGAGAGAUGAGGGUUGUAUUUCGUAGUGUAGAGCUGAGAUGUGUAGAUAUUGGCCCGAACACCGGUGUCGAAGUUGGGCGCCAAGACCGGUAGAGAAGCUGAGGUGAGAAAGCGUGGUGAGCAAACAGGAUUAGAUAUCUCACUAGUCCACGCGGUAAUCGACCCCCACUUGGUGUAGCGAGUAUCGACACUUGCUCCGCCGAAGCUAAAGCAUUACGUGGGUUUCAUGGGGAGUACGGUCGGAGGGCUGAAACUCAAAGUAAUGCACGUGGGUCCGCACAAGCGGUGGAGCAUGUGGUUCAAUUCGAAGCAACGCGAAGAACUUUACGGGGGUUUGAAGAUCAGUAGAUCGGGGGCGAAAUCUGCCUUUCCCGCAAGGGACUUCUGCUUAGGUGCUGCAUGGUUGUCGUCAGCUCGUGUCGUGAGAUGUUGGGUUAAGUCCCGCAACGAGCGCAACCCCUGCUGCUAGUUGCCAACGGUUCGGCCGGGCACUCUAGUGGGACUGCCGGUGAUAAACCGGAGGAAGGUGGGGAUGACGUCAAGUCCUCAUGGCCUUUAUGUCCAGGGCUACACACGUGCUACAAUGGCCGGUACAAACUGACGCUAAAGCGCGAGCUGGAGCAAAUCAGAAAAAGCCGGUCUCAGUUCGGAUUGUAGUCUGCAACUCGACUACAUGAAGCUGGAAUCGCUAGUAAUCGCGGAUCAGCACGCCGCGGUGAAUACGUUCCCGGGCCUUGUACACACCGCCCGUCACAUCACGAAAGUCGGCUGUACCAGAAGCCGGUGUUCUAACCCGCAAGGGAGGAAGCCGUCUAAGGUAUGGUCGGUAAUUGGGGUGAAGUCGUAACAAGGUAGCUGUAGGAGAACCUGUGGCUGGAUCACCUC
rnacentral:rRNA from 1 species